UACGUAGGGUGCGAGCGUUGUCCGGAAUUACUGGGCGUAAAGAGCUCGUAGGUGGUUUGUCGCGUUGUUCGUGAAAACUCACAGCUUAACUGUGGGCGUGCGGGCGAUACGGGCAGACUGGAGUACUGUAGGGGAGACUGGAAUUCCUGGUGUAGCGGUGGAAUGCGCAGAUAUCAGGAGGAACACCGGUGGCGAAGGCGGGUCUCUGGGCCGAUACUGACGCUGAGGAGCGAAAGCGUGGGGAGCGAACAGG
rnacentral:rRNA from 1 species